rnacentral:Y_RNA from 1 species
AGCUGGUCCAACGCUAGUGGUUUAUCAGAAGCAUCACUAACAUUGGUAUAUGUGUACAACCCACAACUGCUAAAUUUGACUGGCUUAAA